rnacentral:rRNA from 1 species
AACGUAGGUGGCAAGCGUUAUCCGGAUUUACUGGGCGUAAAGCGUGCGCAGGCGGUUCGUCGUGUCCGAUGUGAAAGCCCCGGGCUCAACCUGGGAAUGGCAUUGGAAACUGGCGGACUCGAGUGUGGCAGAGGGGGGUGGAAUUCCGCGUGUAGCAGUGAAAUGCGUAGAGAUGCGGAGGAACACCGAUGGCGAAGGCAGCCCCCUGGGCUAACACUGACGCUCAGGCACGAAAGCAUGGGGAGCAAACAGG